rnacentral:rRNA from 1 species
AGUGAACGCUGGCGGUAGGCCUAACACAUGCAAGUCGAACGGCAGCACAGGAGAGCUUGCUCUCUGGGUGGCGAGUGGCGGACGGGUGAGGAAUACAUCGGAAUCUACUCUGUCGUGGGGGAUAACGUAGGGAAACUUACGCUAAUACCGCAUACGACCUACGGGUGAAAGCAGGGGACCUUCGGGCCUUGCGCGAUUGAAUGAGCCGAUGUCGGAUUAGCUAGUUGGCGGGGUAAAGGCCCACCAAGGCGACGAUCCGUAGCUGGUCUGAGAGGAUGAGCAGCCACACUGGAACUGAGACACGGUCCAGACUCCUACGGGAGGCAGCAGUGGGGAAUAUUGGACAAUGGGCGCAAGCCUGAUCCAGCCAUACCGCGUGGGUGAAGAAGGCCUUCGGGUUGUAAAGCCCUUUUGUUGGGAAAGAAAUCCAGCUGGCUAAUACCCGGUUGGGAUGACGGUACCCAAAGAAUAAGCAUCGGCUAUUUUCGUGCCAGCAGCCGCGGUAA